rnacentral:rRNA from 1 species
ACUCCUGCGGGAGGCAGCAGUGGGGAAUAUUGCACACUGGGCGCAAGCCUGAUGCAGCCAUGCCGCGUGUAUGAAGAAGGCCUUCGGGUUGUAAAGUACUUUCAGCGGGGAGGAAGGUGUUGAGGUUAAUAACCUCAGCAAUUGACGUUACCCGCAGAAGAAGCACCGGCUAACUCCGUGCCAGCAGCCGCGGUAAUACGGAGGGUGCAAGCGUUAAUCGGAAUUACUGGGCGUAAAGCGCACGCAGGCGGUCUGUCAAGUCGGAUGUGAAAUCCCCGGGCUCAACCUGGGAACUGCAUUCGAAACUGGCAGGCUAGAGUCUUGUAGAGGGGGGUAGAAUUCCAGGUGUAGCGGUGAAAUGCGUAGAGAUCUGGAGGAAUACCGGUGGCGAAGGCGGCCCCCUGGACAAAGACUGACGCUCAGGUGCGAAAGCGUGGGGAGCAAACAGGAUUAGAAACCCCAGUAGUCCCAUG